rnacentral:rRNA from 1 species
AGAUUGCGUCAGUAGCGGCGAGCGAAAGCGCAAGAGGGCAAACCCAGUGCUUGCACUGGGGGUUGUAGGACUGCAAUAUGCAAGAGGUAAGUUUAGCAGAACAUUCUGGAAAGUAUAACCAUAGAGGGUGAUAGUCCCGUAUGCGAAAAACAAACCUUAGCUAGCAGUAUCCUGAGUAGGGCGGGACACGAGGAAUCCUGUCUGAAUCCGGGUCGACCACGAUCCAACCCUAAAUACUAAUACCAGAUCGAUAGUGCACAAGUACCGUGAGGGAAAGGUGAAAAGAACUGAGGUGAUCAGAGUGAAAUAGAACCUGAAACCAUUUGCUUACAAUCAUUCAGAGCCCUAUGUAGCAAUACAGGGUGAUGGACUGCCUUUUGCAUAAUGAGCCUGCGAGUUGUGGUGUCUGGCAAGGUUAAGCAAACGCGAAGCCGUAGCGAAAGCGAGUCUGAAUAGGGCGCUUAGUCAGAUGCUGCAGACCCGAAACGAAGUGAUCUAUCCAUGAGCAAGUUGAAGCUAGUGUAAGAACUAGUGGAGGACUGAACCCAUAGGCGUUGAAAAGCCCCGGGAUGACUUGUGGAUAGGGGUGAAAGGCCAAUCAAACUUCGUGAUAGCUGGUUCUCUCCGAAAUAUAUUUAGGUAUAGCGUUGUGUCGUAAUAUAAGGGGGUAGAGCACUGAAUGGGCUAGGGCAUACACCAAUGUACCAAACCCUAUCAAACUCCGAAUACCUUAUAUGUAAUCACAGCAGUCAGGCGGCGAGUGAUAAAAUCCGUCGUCAAGAGGGAAACAACCCAGACUACCAGCUAAGGUCCCUAAGUCUUACUUAAGUGGAAAACGAUGUGAAGUUACUUAAACAACCAGGAGGUUGGCUUAGAAGCAGCCAUCCUUUAAAGAAAGCGUAAUAGCUCACUGGUCUAGUGAUUUUGCGCGGAAAAUAUAACGGGGCUAAAGU